CAGAGAGAGAGACGGAGAGACAGACAUAGAGACAGACAGAGAGAGGGAGACGGAGAGACAAGAACGGAACAGAUUUCACUUCAACAUUCUGGACACGAUCAGACGUUGAUUUGAUAAAAAAAAGGGAGGAGUCAAGAAAUCAGCCACAAUGAUGGUAAACGUGUUGCUCUUCGCUCUGAUACUGCUGGCAUCCAGCAGCCAGCCGGCUGAAGCAACCCUGAAACUCCGCUGUCCCAGAAGUGCAACCACAAAUACAACAUCUGCCCCAACCACAACAAAGGGUAUUGAUAAUGCAGCCGAUGCCCCAAUGCCCGCUACAACCACAGCAACAACUGCAGUAACAACUACAGCAACAACCACAGCAACAACUGCAGUAACAACCACAGCAACAACCGCAGCAACAACUGCAGUAACAACUACAGCAACAACUACAGCAACAACUGUACCAGUAACUGCAGCAACAACUGCACCAGCAGCAACUCGAGAAAGUGC